CCCUGUUGGCCGGACGAUAGCUAGAGUGUGGUGAAUGAAAUAUUAGGGGUUGUACAACCAAAGCGCUUUGUUUGCUACCGCCGUAUGUGUUUAUUCGAUGAAUACAGCAGCCCUCCGUACUGUCAACUGGCAAGUAGCGUUUAGUCUUACCGCCCAAAAAUUACGGUAAGUAAAAUGGAUAAAUAUGAAGCUACCUAACUGUAGAAACGACCUAAUUGCUAAAAUUAAGAUGGUUAUAAUGACCGAUGGACGAAUAAUUAACGGAUUGGAUGGAUCACAGGUAUUGGUAUGCAGAUAUGAGCCCAGGGUCAGCAACAACAACAACCACAAGGGCUGAUUUACGCGACGCUGCUAUCCAGUGUGGUGAUAAGGAGUUGAACAAUAACUUGAUUAGUGACUUCCUUAGGUACCGCAAAUCACGUUGCUCUCGGAAAGUACAGGUGUAAAAUGAACGAGAUAUCAGUUUACGCCAAAUACGAAAUUUUAUGUUAUCAAUU